rnacentral:rRNA from 1 species
AGAGUUUGAUCCUGGCUCAGGAUGAACGCUGGCGGGAUGCCUAACACAUGCAAGUCGAGCGGUAACACUUCGGGUGACGAGCGGCGAACGGCUGAGGAACACGUUGGUACCUGCCCCAGACUCAGGGAUAAGCGCGAGAAAUUGCGUCUAAUACCGGAUAUCCCAGUCUAUUCUCUUUAUAACCAUUCUUUUAAUAGAAGAGUUAUAGGAAGAAUAGACUGGGAAAGAUUUAUCGGUCUGGGAGGGGCCUGCGACGUAUCACGCUUGUUGGUAAGGUAACGGCUUACCAAGGCUUUGACGCGUAUCUGGUGUGAGAGCACGACCAGACAGAGUGGGACUGAGACNCGGCCCACACUCCUACGGGAGGCAGCAGUGAGGAAUUUUCCACAAUGGGCGAAAGCCUGAUGGAGCAAUCCCGCGUGCAGGAUGACACCUUUCGGGGCGUAAACUGCUUUUCUGAGGGAAGAAAUNGGGACG